rnacentral:tRNA from 1 species
GCGUUGUAGCUCAGUGGCAGAGCAUUCCGGUGUGUGGCCGGGAGGUCAUGGGUUCAAUUCUCAUCAACUGCUCCA